CCGCCCCACGCGCCCCGACUUGUUCUCCCGUCCCUCUCUCAGCUACUGACAUGUGGACACGCUGACACUCUAGAUCCGCCCACGCUAUUUGACUGGUUCUCCCGCCCCUCUCUCAACUACUGUCCUGUGGAUCCUAGCGUCCACAGAGCUAGCUAUUGCGCCUACUCAGCACCCAACCCUACCCACGCAGCUACCACACCGCGCAAAAAAAUGUAGAGCUUGCACUCGAACCUACACUCACAGUUCCGGAAAUUUAGGGUUAAUCAUUAGACCACACGUAACAUAGUGUUUAGAAAUAAACAAUAAUUAUAUUUGAAUAAAUAUCUUACUACCUAUUUAUAUGAUAUAUAAAAAUCGUAGCAAAGCAUAGGCAACUAGCUAGUAUAGUAUUAUAUUUGCAUUGCGAAUGGGUCUAUAACUGAGUUGGUUAGAUGGUCCGAUUAGCACUCCUCAUGUUCUGAGUUCGACGCCGUAGGAUCGAAUUUCAUGGUGUGAUUAAAAAGAAUCCCCAAAUCGAGUUUUUGCUAUCAUAUUGCAUUGGAAGUCGAAUUUUGGAGCUUAUGUGCAUAUAUAAGCAAUAACUCAUGGAUUGCCAAUCUCGUCGUUGACGCUGUGGAGAUGGCAUUAACUCAUGGAUUGUCAAUCUCGUUGUUGAUGCUCGGAGAGAAAAAAAAAAAGGUGUUCAACUUUGAUGGGUAAUGUCGUAAUUAAGGACUGAUGGUAUUGAACCUAUCGAUGCCCUAGCUAUAGCCUAUGAUGUACCUGACUAUUUAACGUAACCGUCAAUGUUGUUCCACCAUUUGACAUACAUUUCGCUCCGUUUCUUUACAGUGUUGGAUCUGGGGGCAACAUGUCCAAAUUUUAGAGUUGGUGGACGUAUUCAACGAGACGGUUGUACUCUGCUUUCCUUGUUCAACCGUACGUGCUUCGUUUAUCUAGGCUUUGUUUAGCCUGCUGCUGAAUGCUGAUGAACAGGGACGAGUACGACAAGUUUCAACGCUCUCUAGAAGCUGACGAGUGAUGACUGAUGACUGCGUUGUGCCGCUGGUGGUCAACGACAAUUGGCGUUAGCGGCCCUAAAAUAAAAUAAAAUAAAAACUCUGGCGUCAGCACUCAGCAGACAUUUUUUACCGUUCCAUGUGUCCAUGUCCAGACGUGCAUCUGUACUGUACUGUACCUGGAUAUGGGUUUAGAUGGUUUCUUGAGGAAAGUCCCACGCAUUCCAUAUGCAGAAACGGAUCGGGUGCAGUGCAGAAGCCCAGUGCAGUGCAUGCAGAUCGAGAUGCAUGCAUGUCAAGCGCCAUGUCUGAUAAAUGUGUCGUCGCACAGGGGGGACGACGCAGAUUCAUUGACAGACAGACAGCGGAUUUGCAACGUGCACGUGGGCUAUCUUUAGGUGGUGAAGCGACCUCAUUUUGCUAUACCACCUGUCCAGGAGGGUCGGGGUAGACAUUAUUGGGACACCAAAAGCAAUCAUGCAUGCUUGUUUUUUCGGUUCUUGGCCUGAUAGUGAUAGCUGUCAGCUGAUGCCAUGCGUCGCUUGUCUCAUCCUCCUCACCAUCCUUAAGGCCCUAUUUAAAAGCAAACUAGUUUUUAAAAAUUCAGUUUCUAUCUAUAGUUUCUAAAAAUUGUUGGAAAAUUAACAGGGCCUAAGAUUAAUUUGAUAAUGCGGUAUAAAACAUAAAACCUAGAUCUACUGGCAGAUAGUAUCCAUGACAUUAUAACAUAACAAAUCUUAACUAACUCAACAAGAUUAAUGCAUAAAAGAAAAAUCAACAACAUAUCUAACCAUAAGACCGUCAUCGCAAUAAACUGGAAAUACAGAUUCACUUACAAUGACUUCCACGAGUGAUGGUGAGGACCGCGAGCAGACGUGCGCAAAGCACUUCCUAGAAACCUGAUUCGACGGCACCCGUGCAGGCCGUCAAAACGCCGGCGUUGGUUCGAAGACACCGCUCUCUCUUGAUCUGAUGCAUGGCAGACGAAGAGAAGGCAUGGCAGAGAAACAGCGACACAGAGAGAUGAGAAGAAGAGGACGAGUCGGUUGCUAUUCGCGUCCGUCCUCCCACUAAAGGACAUCUGCCCUUUAC
rnacentral:lncRNA from 1 species